UACGGAGGGUGCGAGCGUUGUCCGGAAUCAUUGGGCGUAAAGGGCGCGUAGGUGGCCCCUCAAGCGUGCGGUGAAAGUCAGGGGCUCAACCCUUGAUCGGCCGUGCGAACUGGGGAGCUUGAGCACUGUAGAGGCAGGCGGAAUUCCGGGUGUAGCGGUGGAAUGCGUAGAGAUCCGGAAGAACACCGGUGGCGAAGGCGGCCUGCUGGGCAGUUUUGCUGACACUGAGGCGCGACAGCGUGGGGAGCAAACAGG
rnacentral:rRNA from 1 species